AAGUUAAUAGUUUAAUGUUUGAAUUCCGUUUUUGUAAUACGGGGGUGCUUUUAGGGAUGCUUCUUUUU
rnacentral:tRNA from 1 species